CAAUAGCGUAUAUUUAAGUUGCUGCAGUUAAAAAGCUCGUAGUUGGAUUUCGGGUGGGAAUGGCCGGUCCGCCGUUUCGGUGUGCACUGGCUACGCCCACCUUGCUGCCGGGGACGUGCUCUUGAGUUCACGCUCGGGACACGGAGUCGGCGAGGUUACUUUGAGUAAAUUAGAGUGUUCAAAGCAGGCCUACGCUCUGAAUACAUUAGCAUGGAAUAACACGAUAGGACUCUGGCCUAUCUUGUUGGUCUGUAGGACCGGAGUAAUGAUUAAGAGGGACAGUCGGGGGCAUUCGUAUUUCAUUGUCAGAGGUGAAAUUCUUGGAUUUAUGAAAGACGAACUACUGCGAAAGCAUUUGCCAAGGAUGUUUUCAUUAA
rnacentral:rRNA from 1 species